rnacentral:siRNA from 1 species
GAGGCUCAUCGCUUGCUACUUGG